GGUCAACUAUCAACAUCUCUACUUAAUUACAGCACAAUUAAUCAUUUAUUUCAAGUUUUCCUAAUUGUGUUAUCUAUAAAGUUUACAACUCUAUGGUCACAUUUAUUUUCCUGGAAAACACCUGUCUUAGGUGUUGUUUUUGUUGUUCUGUAAAAUAUUAUAUUGUCCUGUAAUAAACUGUUGUUCACUGGUCUCAACUGUUCUGUGCAACCCCGACCUGGAGUCGAUCAUGCGAUCCUCCUGCUACACAAAGAAUGGGAGGAAAGUGUGCUAGAAUGGAAGAUAGCAGAAUAAAAAUAUGUCCCUUCUUUGCCAUCCACCAUAAACGAGUUUACCACAACAGUGAUAUAAACCAAGGGUGGCAAAAAUGUAACCAGACCCUGUUUCACAGAUUAUUUUAAUAUCAAGA